rnacentral:rRNA from 1 species
CCUACGGGAGGCUGCAGUGGGGAAUAUUGCACAAUGGGGGAAACCCUGAUGCAGCAACGCCGCGUGAGUGAAGAAGGUAUUCGUUACGUAAAGCUCUAUUAGCAGGGAAGAAAAUGACGGUAACUGAGUAAGAAGCCCCGGCCAACUACGUGUCAGCAACCGCGGUAAUACGUAGGGGGCAAGCGUUCUCCGGAUGUACUGGGUGGAAAGGGAGCGUAGACGGCAGUGCAAGGCUGGGGUGAAAGGCGGGGGCUCAACCCCCGGGCUGCACUGGAAACGGUACGGCUGGAGUGCAGGAGAGGAAAGUGGAAUUCCUAGUGUAGCGGUGAAAUGCGUAGAUAUUAGGAGGAACACCAGUGGCGAAGGCGACUUACUGGACUGUAACUGACGUUGAGGCUCGAAAGCGUGGGGAGCAAACAGGAUUAGAUACCCGGGUAGUC